rnacentral:miRNA from 1 species
AGAUUAUGAACCUCAACAUGGUAUCAGAGCUGGAAGUCCUAAAGUUGACAUCAUGAUAGCCUGACGAUGGUGGAGACCAUGAUAAGCUGAUACCAUGUAUUUUGCCGACAUUGUGUUUCUCCAAGAUUGUGCUACAUCACAAACUUAGAAAAACUUAGAACUUCUAGCUCUGAUACCAUGUUGAGUUUUAUGGCC